rnacentral:misc_RNA from 1 species
UUUCCGUAGGUGAACCUGCGGAAGGAUCAUUGUCACACAUCCUAAUGGAUGCUUGUGCCAACAAGCAGACCCAGCGAACCAUUCUCCUAUCACUUGAGGGGCUGCACCGCGAGGUGCAGCUGUCGGCGGUCGGGCCCUUGCCUCAGGGGCCGGAGUCCUCGCUGGGUUCUCCGUUGCGGGUGAGCACCGGCCGUCCGACGGGCGCCGCUCUUGGGCCUCGCACACGGGAGAGUGCGGGGGCGGCGUUUCCCACUCCAGCUGUCCCAUCCGGGGCAGCUGCACAACCAACCAAAACACUAUGAAAAAACCCACUGAAGACCGAUCCUUUGCGGGCGCCUUCGGGAGCCCUGCCUCGGAUCAAAAACAAACGAAAGACAACUCUCAACAACGGAUAUCUUGGCUCUC